rnacentral:lncRNA from 1 species
UGUGACACUGUCACUUUUGUUUACCCAUUGAGGACAAUUGUAAGUCCCACAAGUUGGCAUUUGUUCCUAUGAUAUGGAAGUGAGAUAAGUCCAUUCACAUUGGCACUCAUCUUAUCUUUGCUUGCUGAUUGUUUGUAUGUGAGGAUACAAUUGUAAGUCCCACAAGUUGGCAGUUGUUUUCCUAGGAUCAUACUGUGUAUGUCAGAGUAAGUCC